rnacentral:rRNA from 1 species
CGCAGCCUGAUCUAGCCAUGCCGCGUGAGUGAUGAAGGCCCUAGGGUCGUAAAGCUCUUUCGCCAGGGAUGAUAAUGACAGUACCUGGUAAAGAAACCCCGGCUAACUCCGUGCCAGCAGCCGCGGUAAUACGGAGGGGGUUAGCGUUGUUCGGAAUUACUGGGCGUAAAGCGCACGUAGGCGGAUUAUUAAGUGAGGGGUGAAAUCCCAGGGCUCAACCCUGGAACUGCCUCUCAUACUGGUAAUCUUGAGUUCGAGAGAGGUGAGUGGAAUUCCGAGUGUAGAGGUGAAAUUCGUAGAUAUUCGGAGGAACACCAGUGGCGAAGGCGGCUCACUGGCUCGAUACUGACGCUGAGGUGCGAAAGUGUGGGGAGCAAACAGGAUUAGAUACCCUGGUAGUCCACACCGUAAACGAUGAAUGCCAGUCGUCGGGUAGCAUGCUAUUCGGUGACACACCUAACGGAUUAAGCAUUCCGCCUGGGGAGUACGGUCGCAAGAUUAAAACUCA